UUUCGUUAUUCUUAUUCCGGACAACCAAAGCUUGGUUUAUUCUUCUUUUCUUUGUCUAUGCUUAAUAGAUGGGCAAAUUUUCAAAUAUAUAAAUAUAAAAUGUGCAACAAGAAAUUUAUCAAAAAAAAGCCGGGAGCAGUGCAAUAACUAGGCCACAAGGCUACUGUGCCUUAGUUAAUAUAAUUGCCAUAUAAUUGGAAUUCGGUAAUUAUGAUUGUCUAUUGCUACAAAGGCGCUGCUAUAAUAAUAAGCACAGUGGUGAUUCUACUAUUUAAGUGGGAAGUUGGCACUAAUCUUCAAAUUGUUGUUGGGAUAUGUGCAAUUAUUCUUCUUUCUGGACUGCAGGUCCAACCAACGCAAUAACCGGUGUGUUCGUGUUAAAAAAUUUGUGCAAUAUGUUUAGAACGUAGUACAAUUUUUUCAAUUUAGUGCAAUAAUGCGAUAUUUUAAUAUCGUACGAUAUUAUCAAUCCGUGCAAUAAGCUCGAUAUUUAAUUAAUUAGAAUUAUGGGCAGUAAUUUUUAGCUGAAAUAAGUGCAAUACAUCUGUGUCUGUGUGUGCAAUAUUCUUUACGGUCUUUAAGGCUUUUAAUGUGCAAUAAAUAAUUUCUCUGUA